rnacentral:rRNA from 1 species
AUUGAACGCUGGCGGCAGGCCUAACACAUGCAAGUCGAGCGGAUGAAGGGAGCUUGCUCCUGGAUUCCGCGGCGGACGGGUGAGUAAUGCCUAGGAAUCUGCCUGGUAGUGGGGGAUAACGUCCGGAAACGGGCGCUAAUACCGCAUACGUCCUGAGGGAGAAAGUGGGGGAUCUUCGGACCUCACGCUAUCAGCUGAGCCUAGGUCGGAUUAGCUAGUUGGUGGGGUAAAGGCCUACCAAGGCGACGAUCCGUAACUGGUCUGAGAGGAUGAUCAGUCACACUGGAACUGAGACACGGUCCAGACUCCUACGGGAGGCAGCAGUGGGGAAUAUUGGACAAUGGGCGAAAGCCUGAUCCAGCCAUGCCGCGUGUGUGAAGAAGGUCUUCGGAUUGUAAAGCACUUUAAGUUGGGAGGAAGGGCAGUAAGUUAAUACCUUGCUGUUCUGACGUUACCAACAGAAUAAGCACCGGCUAACUUCGUG